GAUGAACGCUAGCGGCAGGCCUAAUACAUGCAAGUCGAACGGGAUCUGAGGGUAGCUUGCUACCCGAUUUGAGAGUGGCGCACGGGUGCGUAACGCGUGAGCAACCUACCCAUAUCAGGGGGAUAGCCCGAAGCAAUUCGGAUUAACACCGCAUAAUAAUACGCUAACACAUGUUACUGUAUUUAAAUAUUUAUAGGAUAUGGAUGGGCUCGCGUAACAUUAGCUAGUUGGUAAGGUAAAGGCUUACCAAGGCGACGAUGUCUAGGGGCUCUGAGAGGAGAAUCCCCCACACUGGUACUGAGACACGGACCAGACUCCUACGGGAGGCAGCAGUAAGGAAUAUUGGUCAAUGGGCGCAAGCCUGAACCAGCCAUGCCGCGUGCAGGAUGACUGCCCUAUGGGUUGUAAACUGCUUUUGUUAGGGAAUAAACCUACUUAUGUAUAAGUAGCUGAAUGUACCUAAAGAAUAAGGAUCGGCUAACUCCGUGCCAGCCGCCGCGGUAA
rnacentral:rRNA from 1 species